AUUGAACGCUGGCGGCAGGCUUAACACAUGCAAGUCGAGCGGAGAUGAGGUGCUUGCACCUUAUCUUAGCGGCGGACGGGUGAGUAAUGCUUAGGAAUCUGCCAUUUAGUGGGGGACAACAUUCCGAAAGGAAUGCUAAUACCGCAUACGUCCUACGGGAGAAAGCAGGGGAUCUUCGGACCUUGCGCUAAAUGAUGAGCCUAAGUCGGAUUAGCUAGUUGGUGGGGUAAAGGCCUACCAAGGCGACGAUCAGUAGCGGGUCUGAGAGGAUGAUCCGCCACACUGGGACUGAGACACGGCCCAGACUCCUACGGGAGGCAGCAGUGGGGAAUAUUGGACAAUGGGCGGAAGCCUGAUCCAGCCAUGCCGCGUGUGUGAAGAAGGCCUUUUGGUUGUAAAGCACUUUAAGCGAGGAGGAGGCUACUAGUACUAAUACUACUGGAUAGUGGACGUUACUCGCAGAAUAAGCACCGGCUAACUCUGUGCCAGCCGCCGCCGUAAUAC
rnacentral:rRNA from 1 species